CAAGUUGAGAUUUUUAAGAACUUC
rnacentral:piRNA from 2 species